rnacentral:lncRNA from 1 species
CACAAAUUGCAGGCCCUUCUGAAAGUUCGUUGCUCGGGUUUUUUAUUCGUUUGACUUUCUGCCAUUCUAUUAAAAACCGAUUGGAUCUGGGAUGGGAAAAAGUUCUGGAAUAUGUCAAAAAGUCAGCCGUUACUCGGGUUUCAGCCAAAAGAGAUUGACGUCAAGAGUAUAGAUAGAUGCAUGACUUUUUGCUUACAAAAAAUCUACUUCAUUGUUCGUGCAAAAAAUAUUGUAAAC